GACGAACGCUGGCGGCGUGCCUAAUACAUGCAAGUAGAACGCUGAAGAGAGGAGCUUGCUCUUCUUGGAUGAGUUGCGAACGGGUGAGUAAUGCGUAGGUAACCUGCCUUGUAGCGGGGGAUAACUAUUGGAAACGAUAGCUAAUACCGCAUAACAAUGGAUGACACAUGUCAUUUAUUUGAAAGGGGCAAUUGCUCCACUACAAGAUGGACCUGCGUUGUAUUAGCUAGUAGGUGAGGUAAUGGCUCACCUAGGCGACGAUACAUAGCCGACCUGAGAGGGUGAUCGGCCACACUGGGACUGAGACACGGCCCAGACUCCUACGGGAGGCAGCAGUAGGGAAUCUUCGGCAAUGGGGGCAACCCUGACCGAGCAACGCCGCGUGAGUGAAGAAGGUUUUCGGAUCGUAAAGCUCUGUUGUAAGUCAAGAACGGGUGUGAGAGUGGAAAGUUCACACUGUGACGGUAGCUUACCAGAAAGGGACGGCUAACUACGUG
rnacentral:rRNA from 1 species